rnacentral:rRNA from 1 species
GAUGAACGCUGGCGGCGUGCCUAAUACAUGCCAGUCGAGCGAACAGACCAGGAUCUUGCUCCUCUCACGUUAGCGGCGGACGGGUGAGUCACACGUGGAUAACCUACCUAUAAGACUGGGAUAAUCUCGGGAAACCGGCGCUAAUACCGGAUAAUAUAUUGCACCGUAUGGUGCAAUAGAGAAAGACGGUUUUGCUGUCUCUUAUAGAUGGAUCCGCGCCGCAUUAGCUAGUUGGGACGGUAACGGCUUAUCAAGGCUACGAUGCGUAGCCGACCUGAGAGGGUGAUCGGCCGCACUGGAGCUGGGACACGGUCCAGACUACUACGGGAGGCAGCAGUAGGGAAUGUUCCGCAAUGGGCGGAAGCUUGACGGAGCAGCGCCACGUGUGUGAUGAAGGUCUUCGGAUCGUAAAACUCUGUUAUUAGGGAAGAACAGAUGUGUAAGUAACUGUGCACGUCUUGACGGUACCUGAUCAGGAAGCCACGGCUAACUACGUG